rnacentral:rRNA from 1 species
CGGUGAGGAACCUGCCUUGGAGAGGGGAAUAACACUCCGAAAGGAGUGCUAAUACCGCAUGAUGCAGUUGGGUCGCAUGGCUCUGACUGCCAAAGAUUUAUCGCUCUGAGAUGGCCUCGCGUCUGAUUAGCUAGUAGGCGGGGUAACGGCCCACCUAGGCGACGAUCAGUAGCCGGACUGAGAGGUUGACCGGCCACAUUGGGACUGAGACACGGCCCAG